GAUGAACGCUAGCGGCAGGCCUAAUACAUGCAAGUCGAGGGGCAGCAUAGUAGCAAUACUGAUGGCGACCGGCGCACGGGUGCGUAACGCGUAUGCAACCUACCUUUUACNGGGGGAUAGCCCGGAGAAAUUCGGAUUAACACCGCAUAAUAAGUUGAAGUGGCAUCACUUUAAUUUUAAAUAUUUAUAGGUAAGAGAUGGGCAUGCGUCCAAUUAGCUAGUUGGGAGGUAACGGCUCACCAAGGCGAUGAUUGGUAGGGUUCUGAGAGGAAGGUCCCCCACACUGGUACUGAGAUACGGACCAGACUCCUACGGGA
rnacentral:rRNA from 1 species